rnacentral:tRNA from 1 species
AGUUAUUGAAUCUGAUUAGAUAUAUAUUUUGAAAAUAUAGUAAAGAAAAUAAUUCUAAUAACUU